rnacentral:rRNA from 1 species
AUGCUUAAGUCCGUCCGAAUCAUGUUAGCAAUUGCCGCAUUUUAUGAUUAUGAAAUUUGGCAAAUGGAUGUCAAAACUGCAUUCCUUAAUGGAUAUCUUAAAGAAAAGUUGUUUAUGAUGCAACCAGAAGGUUUUGUCGAUCCAAAAGGUGCUAACAAAGUGUGCAAGCUCCAGCGAUCCAUUCAUGGACUGGUACAAGCAUCUCGGAGUUGGAAUAUAUGCUUUGAUAGUGUGAUCAAAGCAUAUGAUUUUAUACAGACUUUUGGAGAAGCCUGUAUUUAUAUGAAAGUGAGAGGGAGCUCUGUAGCAUUUCUGAUAUUAUAUGUGGAUGACAUACUGUUGAUCGGAAAUGAUACUGAAUUUCUGGAUAGCAUAAAAGGGUACUUGAAUAAGAAUUUUUCAAUGAAAGACCUCGAUGAAGCUGCUUAUAUAUUGGGCAUCAAGAUCUAUAGAGAUAGAUCAAGACGCUUAAUUGUACUUUCACAAAGCACAUACCUUGAUAAAGUUUUGAAGAAGUGA